GACGGAGGGUGCAAGCGUUGCUCGGAAUCAUUGGGCGUAAAGGGUGCGUAGGCGGCUUUUUAAGUCUGACGUGAAAGCCCAGGCUUAGCCUUGGAAGUGCGCCAGAAACUGGAAGGCUAGAGUGCCGGAGGGGAGAGUGGAAUUCCUGGUGUAGCGGUGAAAUGCGUAGAUAUCAGGAGGAAUACCGGUGGCGAAAGCGACUCUCUGGACGGUAACUGACGCUGAGGCACGAAAGCGUGGGGAGCAAACAGGG
rnacentral:rRNA from 1 species